rnacentral:rRNA from 1 species
GGGGGAUAACACUGAGAAAUCGGUACUAAUACCCCAUAAUAUUCCGGGAGGCAUCUUUCGGAGUUGAAAGCUUUGGUGGUAAGGGAUGGGCAUGCGUUGUAUUAGCUAGUUGGUAAGGUAACGGCUUACCAAGGCGACGAUACAUAGGGGGACUGAGAGGUUAACCCCCCACAUUGGUACUGAGACACGGACCAAACUCCUACGGGAGGCAGCAGUGAGGAAUAUUGGUCAAUGGACGGAAGUCUGAACCAGCCAUGCCGCGUGCAGGAAGACGGCUCUAUGAGUUGUAAACUGCUUUUGUACGAGGGUAAACGCAGAUACGUGUAUCUGCCUGAAAGUAUCGUACGAAUAAGGAUCGGCUAACUCCGUGCCAGCAGCCGCGGUAAUACGGAGGAUCCAAGCGUUAUCCGGAUUUAUUGGGUUUAAAGGGUGCGUAGGCGGUUUAGUAAGUCAGCGGUGAAAUUUUGGUGCUUAACACCAAACGUGCCGUUGAUACUGCUGGGCUAGAGAGUAGUUGCGGUAGGCGGAAUGUAUGGUGUAGCGGUGAAAUGCUUAGAGAUCAUACAGAACACCGAUUGCGAAGGCAGCUUACCAAACUAUAUCUGACGUUGAGGCACGAAAGCGUGGGGAGCAAACAGGAUUAGAUACCCUGGUAGUCCACGCAGUAAACGAUGAUAGCUCGUUGUCGGCGAUACACAGUCGGUGACUAAGAGAAAUCGAUAAGCUAUCCACCUGGGGUGUACGUUCGCAAGAAUGAAACUCAAAGGAAUUGACGGGGGCCCGCACAAGCGGAGGAACAUGUGGUUUAAUUCGAUGAUACGCGAGGAAACCUUACCCGGGCUUGAAAGUUACUGACGAUUCUGGAAACAGGAUUUCCCUUUCGGGGCAGGAAACUAGUGCUGCAUGGUUGUCGUCAGCUCGUGCGUGA